rnacentral:misc_RNA from 1 species
GAUGAAGAACGUAGCGAAAUGCGAUAAGUAGUGUGAAUUGCAGAAUUCAGUGAAUCAUCGAAUCUUUGAACGCACAUUGCGCCCCUUGGUAUUCCAUGGGGCAUGCCUGUUCGAGCGUCAUUUGUACCUUCAAGCUUUGCUUGGUGUUGGGUGUUUGUCUCGCCUCUGCGUGUAGACUCGCCUUAAAAUAAUUGGCAGCCGGCGUAUUGAUUUCGGAGCGCAGUACAUCUCGCGCUUUGCACUCAUAACGACAGCGUCCAAAAGUACAUUUUACACUCUUGACCUCGGAUCAGGUAGGGAUACCCGCUGAACUUAAGCAUAUCAAUAAGCGGAGGA